rnacentral:rRNA from 1 species
AUGGCUCAUGGCGAUCAUCAAAACGAUGAUGAUGAUUUCAUGGAUCCACCACAGCGUAAUCGGGCAACUGGACGGAGAAAAGAGGGUGAUGAGAAGAAGAAACGUAUUCGCAACAGAGCCUCCCAAGAACGACUGACUGCGUUGACUGACAAAUUCACCGACGAUCAGAAGGGGGCUGCUGCUGAGAUGGGUAUGCAGUCUAUGAUGGAUGUCCGGUGCACGAACCUUGUCAACCCUGUAUGCGACUGGCUUGGUGAGAUCUACGACCCCGCCUCCAGGGAAUUCGUGAUUUCGGGACGUGGAAGACUACCGUUGAACGAGGAAUCCGUGUUCUGCACUUUGGGUGUGCCUCGUGGACAUAUGAAAGUCCCGUAUGAGGUCAACAAUGAGAUCAAGGAAGCGCUGUUCCCCCGUUUGUUUCCUGGGUCUGAAUCCAUGCCGAACACGUCUGCAGUGGCAGAUUCGCUGCAGGCCAUGACAACGCAUGGAGAUGUUUUCAAGAUGAAGCUACUCAUGUACCUCAUCUCAGCUGUUUUCGCGCCGACCAGCUCUCUUCGCCCAAGCAACAAAUGCUUCCCCAUCCUGGUGAAUGAUCCAUCUUUACUACUUUAUUUUCCUUUGAUCUUUUUGGCUUCGAUGUCAUGUGUAAAGCGGAUCUGGGAAAUGUGA